AGGACAAACGCUGGCGGCGUGCAUAACACAUGCAAGUCGAACGAGCCUAGCGAUAGGCGAGUGGCGGACGGGUGAGGAACACGUGGAUGACCGACCUUUUACUGGGGAAUACCCGUGGGAAACCACGGCUAAAUACCGCAUACGUUCGAGAGAAGAAAGCCUUCGGGCGGUAAGAGACGGGUCUGCGGUCGAUUAGCUAGUUGGUGCGGUAACGGCGUACCAAGGCGACGAUCGAUAGCUGGUCUGAGAGGAUGAUCAGCCACAUUGGGAUUGAGAACGGCCCAAAUCCCUACGGGGAGCAGCAGUGAGGAUAUUCGGCAAUGGGCGCAAGCCUGACCGAGCGACGCCGCGUGGGGGAUGACGCAUUUCGGUGUGUAAACCCCUUUUCUGUGGGACGAGAAUGGACGGUACCACAGGAAUAAGUCUCGGCUAACUACGCGCCAGCAGCCGC
rnacentral:rRNA from 1 species